rnacentral:rRNA from 1 species
AUUGAACGCUGGCGGCAUGCCUUACACAUGCAAGUCGAACGGCAGCACGGGUGCUUGCCCCUGGUGGCGAGUGGCGAACGGGUGAGUAAUACAUCGGAACAUGUCCUGUAGUGGGGGAUAGCCCGGCGAAAGCCGGAUUAAUACCGCAUACGAUCUACGGAUGAAAGCGGGGGACCUUCGGGCCUCGCGCUAUAGGGUUGGCCGAUGGCUGAUUAGCUAGUUGGUGGGGUAAAGGCCUACCAAGGCGACGAUCAGUAGCUGGUCUGAGAGGACGACCAGCCACACUGGGACUGAGACACGGCCCAGACUCCUACGGGAGGCAGCAGUGGGAAAUUUUGGACAAUGGGCGAAAGCAUGAUCCAGCAAUGCCGCGUGUGUGAAGAAGGCCUUCGGGUUGUAAAGCACUUUUGUCCGGAAAGAAAUCCUUGGCCCUAAUACGGUCGGGGGAUGACGGUACCGGAAGAAUAAGCACCGGCUAACUACGUG